rnacentral:rRNA from 1 species
ACGGGAGGCAGCAGUGGGGGAUAUUGCACAAUGGGGUAAACCCUGAUGCAGCAACGCCACGUGUGGGAAGAAGCAUUUCGGUGUGUAAACCACUGUCGUGAGGGAAUAAUGCUUGGCCUCGGCCCAGUUGAAUGUACCUCGAAAGGAAGCACCGUCAAACUUCGUGCCAGCAGCCGCGGUAAUACGAGGGGUGCAAGCGUUGUUCGGAAUCACUGGGCGUAAAGGGAGCGCAGGCGGAGAUGCAAGCAGUCUGUACAAUACCGGGGCCCAACCCUGGACCUGCAGACUGGACUGUUUCUCUUGGAUAGUUCAGGGGCAAGCGGAAUUCCUGGUGUAGCGGUGGAAUGCGUAGAGAUCAGGAAGAACACCGAUGGCGAAGGCAGCUUGCUGGGGACUUAUCGACGCUCAUGCUCGAAAGUGCGGGUAGCAAACAGGAUUAGA